rnacentral:rRNA from 1 species
CAAGCGGUGGAGCAUGUGGUUUAAUUCGAUGCAACGCGAAGAACCUUACCUACUCUUGACAUCCAGCGAACUUAGCAGAGAUGCUUUGGUGCCUUCGGGAACGCUGAGACAGGUGCUGCAUGGCUGUCGUCAGCUCGUGUUGUGAAAUGUUGGGUUAAGUCCCGCAACGAGCGCAACCCUUAUCCUUUGUUGCCAGCGAUACGGUCGGGGACUCAAAGGAGACUGCCGGUGAUAAACCGGAGGAAGGUGGGGAUGACGUCAAGUCGUCAUGGCCCUUACGAGUAGGGCUACACACGUGCUACAAUGGCGCAUACAAAGAGAAGCGACCUCGCGAGAGCAAGCGGACCUCAGAAAGUGCGUCGUAGUCCGGAUCGGAGUCUGCAACUCGACUCCGUGAAGUCGGAAUCGCUAGUAAUCGUGGAUCAGAAUGCCACGGUGAAUACGUUCCCGGGCCUUGUACACACC